rnacentral:lncRNA from 1 species
CAGGGACCUGCAAUUAAGCAUUUCUAAAAUGGGACUCCAGUUACUAAAACCGGCUUUUCCACACAGCUUCUCAGGACGCCUGCCAAUCGCAGCUCUUCCCUCCUGCUCUUCACCCCCUUCAGGGAACUGGACCCAGCAGAGGCUGGGACUGGAGAUGACCGGGCACUCCGCCUUAGCCCAGCCCGCUCCCUGGGCCUUGGGCCCCUCUUUGGGAGUUGCGUGGUGGCAGGGCCUUGCCGGGGGAACUUUUCUUUAUGCCUGAAGUUUGGCUUCUGGCCCAGUGACAUGGGGGUUUCCAGAAUGGUGACAGCCCUGUCCUAGCAGGGACAGGCCCAGGCACUUCCUCCCAGCGCCUCUGGGAACGUCAGCCCCACAGCGGCUGUCACUGGGCGUAGGGAACAGUUGUGGAGUCAGCAGAGGCCGUCUUCAGUGCUUCCCACGCCUUCAGGGACACCAUGUCAUGAAUCUCAAAACCCAUCUUCUCCUUGCCUAGGGCUGAGCUGGGGAAGAAGACACAGGUGGCCCAGCUGGGCCCAGCCCUCAGAGAACAGCUAACCCCUCAGGAAACAAAUAACCAACUCCAAGACAGCAGGAGGUGUGCCGCGGCCAGGGCCUGUGGUAGAGGCAGCUCUGAAUCACCCUGGCUCAGGUGGAGAACCCAAGAGGACAGCCAUGAGAAGGAUUUGUCCUGCCAAGGGACAGAAGCAGAAGGGACAGUCAGAAGGCCUCGAGGAGAAGGUGACAAGUGAGCAGGGUGUCGACAGGUGAAAGGGAGUUUGCUGGGCCGAGAAAGGGAAGGACACUGGAGCUGCCAUCUGUGUCCACUGCAGGCGGAGCAGGAGGAGUCCUGGUGAAGGCAAAGGCACUGGGUGAUCAGGAGGCGAGAGGUCCAGCAGGCCUGUCCUGGGGGUCAGUCCAGGGGGAGAGGGUGAGCACUGUCUUCCCUGCCCGGCAUCUGUCCCUUUAUUCUGGCGUCGUCCAAAAUACAGUCUUGCAGAGUCUCCAGCAAUACGGUGYCUACCCCGAGCUCUAAAAGUGAGUUUGAAGCUUGUGCUUGGCCACGCUGGGCCAUUCCUAGGCUCAGGGAUGGGCGUGUAACACCAAUGGGCAUCAGCCUGGGGACUUGCUGGGAGUCAGGAUUACGAAUGCCAAGAUGCCAGCCCCCAAAGGCUGCUGGUCAUUUUUACCACCCUGAGGGGAGAGCCUGCUGGAGAACAAACAGAGCCAAGCAGAGCCAGAGACUGAAUCUCAGUGAUGUGGCU